AACCAUAAAUUUCCAAAAUGUUGAAAGAUGAAAGAAGAGGCAAACCUGGAAAAUCUUCUUGAGUGGCUCAAAACCUGCAAAAAAAAAAAGAUAACGAGAAAUUUAAUGCUAAUGUCUCCUAUAUUUACUGGGCAAAACAAAUGUCGAGCAUAAAUUAUAAAGAAUUUGGAUUAAAAGGUCUGCAGCUGCUUCAUUAUUUCUUCAGUUAUAAACACCAUUCUUUGUAUCAUUCUGGUCGAUAAGAGCUUACCUUCUCUGCAACUCAACAAUUUAUCCAAGAAAAGAUAUUGACCCUUUUAAAAUACUACCAAAUAUUCAUAAGAACAAAAACAAUACAAAACAGUAAGAAACGUGACUCCGUGUUACCUCCAUUUACAACAAAGUUCAUGACGUGGAAAACCUUUUGUAUUAUCCAAUCACAUUGGGGACUCUUAACUCAAUUAUGAUAUAUGAAUCUGCACAAUAGCAAUCAAUUGAAAACUUACAAAGGUGAAGUUUCAGAAAGAGAUAGUGACUGAUAUUACAUCCGUGAACUAUUAUGAUGAUUUUCAGAACAGGUGUUCAUCACCAAUGUAGUACAAAUACUAUAAUCAGCACACGCAUAAGAAAGGAUAUGGUGAAAUAUUAAUUACUGUCAAUAUAAAAAUCUAUUCCUAGGAGAUUUCGUACAAGGACUAAAGAACAUUCAAGAAGAGAGCUUAUCGCACCAACAGAUGAUAGAUUAUACAAUCUCCUUUGAGAAAGAUUGGCCAUCUUUUGCAUCAUACCAGCAAAAGAAUCACUCAUAAAUAUACAAAAUCAAUGCAAAAAAAUGUGUAUGUAUAUACAUGGCCUCCACAAAAAUAUGAACUUCACAGACAUUUACAUAACUUUAGAAAUCGCAUUUAAAUUUUUUUUUUUUUAUAUAUUGGCAAAGUUCACAAACUGGUGGUAUAUUAUUAGUUAUUUGACAAAGAAUAAUGCCUCGUUUCCUAUUAACCCCUUAACAUUAACUACAUAUUCAAGUUUCAAAAAGCUUUAAUGUAAGAAAUAUAGAAAGUAUAUCUCUUUUGAAUAAUAAAUUUUUGUCACCCGCAAACCAGCAGUUAGAGGAGUACCAAACUCUUCCAUUUUGGUUGUGCAACUGACACACAGGACAUAGCAACUUCCAAGUAGGUGCAAGAAAUUAUAUCUACAUGAGAGUUCGGAGAUAGAAUAUAGCUAUCAAAUAUUAGAAAAUAUUUUAGUGGCCAAAUGACUCCAAUAAUAUAUUUGGGCAAUUAAAAAGAGCAACUUAUUGUAAUAUGAUUGCUUGAAUUUACUGAGCUUCCUUCUUCUUUCUUUAUUAUACUGUCACUUCAACCACAGUUUCUUGAAGGUUUCAUGUAAGACGCUUCAUAAUAUAGUUGUGAAAUACUAAAUAAAUGAUCAAAUUAUAGUUCGCUGCUUAGUUUCACGGGCAAGAAGCAUGAUAUUUCAAGUUUGGCUUAAGAAUUAAGAUUGCUUGAUAAAUUAAAUAUAGAACUAUGGGCAGUACUUAAAAGGAAAAACACCAAAUCAGUUGAUCUGCAGCCUUCCUCUGCACAUGAAAAAAGACCUUACUGAUUGAUAAUCACUUAGUACGUGCAAUGGAGACAUUAUAAAUUUGAUAUUAAAAAAGGGCAUAAUGAAUGGAAAGCCACCUCUCUUGGUGCUUCAUGAUCAUCCUUGUUUCAUUCUGCUACCGGUAUAAAAAGUACAUGUUCAAAGUUCCAAAGAUGUUGCAGAAUCACUUGUCUAAAGGUCAUGGCAAGUAUAUUUGUACACGUCGUGUUAGACAAAAUUUCUGUAGUUAUGAUACUUAUAAAGCUUUUGAGCUUUCUCCAUAAACUCGCUGGUAAAAAUUUUCAGAAUGUCAUAUUUUAGACACACCACAACUAUGUUUUAUAAUACAUAAUUCUAGAAGCAAUAAACAAAAUAGGCAACCAAAUCAAAGAACGGGAAAAAUUUACCAUUGUUUUGGAGAAUAGGCAUUAAACUUUGCUUAAGUUUCGGUAAUUUUCAUUUCCACCGCCAUGAUAUGUAAAAAAGCUAGAUCCGUCAGUCUCAUCUCAUUUCAAUCAAAUAAUGCUUUCCUCAUAUAAGCAGACUGAAAAACCAAAUUUUGCCAACAGGGAGUCCUCAAAGGUAGAAGUACAUAGUUGUCAGCAUAAGGAGUGGCCCUGUUGCGGCUAAUAUUUUCAGUUCUCCUGUAUAAAGGUAUGAAAUACAUCAUUAGAUUAUUUGUACAACUAAAAAUGCUCCUUACAAGAACAUGAGUGAGACCUAAUAAUAAGCCUCAAGGGACAUUAAGUCACAGCUAGGUGCUAGGUCCAAGAAGCUUUUGCUAUCAGGCUCCGUAGUUUAUUGAUUGGAAAAUAGUAUUGCUAUCAAAAAACUCCAUAGUUCCAAAACCAAGAUACAUUAUCAAACGAUUCUCACNNNNNNNNNNNNNNNNNNNNNNNNNUGGUCAUUUUAUUAGACAGAGCUCUUACCAAAAACGAAGAUCACAUUCAUUUUCUGAGAUGUCUUGGGUCGUGCAAACCUUGAAUAGUAUUUUGAAUCUCAAUUUACUAAUUGCAGUAAUAACAUAAACUACUUAAACUUAAGUUAAAAUCAUGGCAGAACGGUUCGCGCAAACCUUGAAUAGUAAUUUUUACAUAUGUGAGAUGUAGCUAAUUUGACGCAUUCUUCAAACCAAAUUCUGAUUACUAUAGAGAUACAUGCAACAUGUACCCCAAUUUAACAUCACAAGCAUGUAACUGCAGAAUGCAGAUUGUAUAUCACAAAAAAGAUUUCUAGAGAUGCAUUUCGAUCCCAUGCAACCGUCCAUAAACGGAUUAGAAAGAUAACUUUUCCGCUUCAGGUAAAAGCUAAGACAAUUCACUUAUCCCAGAGCUUGAAAACGACCUCGCAAUGGAACCAAAAAAUUAUCAAGAGUGAAGAAAAAUGCAAACUUCUAGAUAUUUCAAUUAUCUUAGUGAUAACAUGCGCAGAUAAAACUGAAAUAAAAUUACAGGAAUGAACACCCAAAUGGGAUAUCAAGAGAUUAGUAAACAAAGGUUGAUAAGUGUUUACUUAAGAGAAGAAGGGCGCGGGAGGAGAGAAAGAUGAUAGAUCUUCUUAUUGGUGGAAAUUCUUAUUCUUUUUGUAUACAGAAGGGAAUUUUGUGAGCUAUUCUAGACAUGCAUGAGCCCAGAAAAUUGAGUCUACUAAUGUGUUUAGUUGUAGAACAAAAUUAAAGGGGGAAAAGGGAAUAGUUGAUUUAGACAUAUUAUCGAAAACCUUUCGUGCGUCAAGGGUGCAAAUUGGAUACAAUAUAGGAAACUAUCCAAAAGAGCAGAGAAACUCUCAAAUACCUACCAAAAUCCUAUUAUCAAUAAUCGGUGCAUUAAAAGAAAUGCAAGAAUAGAGAAAACCCUCACCACAAUUGAACAGAAUAAAGCACAUACCAGAGACAACUUCAAACUCUAAUUGAGAAAUUUGAAAAGGAAAAAGCUCAUCUACAGAUGCAUGUGUGUGCAAAGUUUUCCUUUUAAAAAAAAGAGAAAGAGGGAAAAAAUUCAAACGGAUUUUACCAGAAUGAGCAGAGCAGUAGUUGCAAAUAAAUGCAGGAAAACAGUCAAAAGCAUAACAAAUAAUAGAGAACAAGCAGCUUGGAUUCAUUUAAGGCAAAAGAAACUCAUCAAAGCAACCAGAUGAUACUUUGAGGGAGUGAAGCACAUAAUCGGAACUCCAAUGUCUGAACUUGAGCGAUAGAACAUAAAAUUAAGAGUUGAGCAGUGAAAUUUG
rnacentral:lncRNA from 1 species